AAGUCCCGACCGUGCCUACAACAGCUGAAAUCCCAGUGCCAAGUCCAUCUGCUGCAUCAGUCCCUUCAACUCCUGAAACAACAACCACUGCCACUACACAGCUCAUUCCCCUGCCUGAGUAUGUGAGGAUGAUGUUGCUGAAAUACCUAAAUAGCCUGUGCCAGCCAAGGAGACCUGGGAUGCCAAGAAUAAUAUUGGAAGGGUGUGUAAGUGACCCAACCUGUGGGAAUAACCCUUCAUCAGGCCAGAGGCUUUUCCAGCUCCGUUACAAAGCUCCUGUAAACCAUGGAAUGUGCCUACGGUGCAAAGUAUUAGGGUGCAACAUACUCCCUCCUCCCCGACCCUUCCCAGGGAGCUUAUUCCCUCCUCCCUUUCCCCGACCCUUCCCAGGGAACUUAUUCCCUCUUCCCUUUCCCCGACCCUUCCCAGGGAACAAGUUCCCUCUUCCCUUUCCCCGACCCUUCCCAGGGAACAAACUCCCUUCUUUCAGACCCUUCCCAGUGCACAGGCUCCCUGUUCCCCAGCCCUUCCCAGGCUUCAGGAGAAGAGCCAGAAGCACAAGUGAUGGAGUCGUUGUUGUCUUUGUCCCCAAUUAAUGAUGUUUCUGACCAUGACAUUAUGUUGAGCACCUCUAGACCUGUUCAUUGUGUUCCAAAAUCUGCUGCUUAUUUCUAAAAAUAUACUAGUGGGUGUAAAUCUAAAGGUAUUUAAUCUUAAAUGAAUUGGGGCUGCUUAAUUUCAGAUCUUUUGGAUCUAUACAGCAGAUCUGUAAAAGACUAAACUUCAGUAAAUACUCUCAGUGACAAAAAA